AAACCCGCGAGGGGAUGUCUGGAGGAAGCCCGAGUGUAAAAGUGCGAGCCGACGGACAGAAACCGCAUAGAAGG
rfam:Thiorhodococcus drewsii AZ1 ctg183, whole genome shotgun sequence.